UUUCCGUAGGUGAACCUGCGGAAGGAUCAUUAAUGAAAAUUAUAAAAACACGCCAAAGUGAAACGUGCACGUGUGUUUUUUCAAUCUCUUUUUUUCAUUUUUUUUUGAUUUGAUUCUUUUUUUUUAUAUAAAAAAAAAGAAGAGGAAAGAAUUAAAGUGAAAAAAAAAAGAGAUAUGAAAAAAUCAAAAAACUUUUAAAACCCUUCAUAAAAUAAAAUAUAGUUUGUCAAUUAUUAUUGUUUCUUUUUUUUUUAAAAUGACUUUUAUCAAUUGAAAAAAAAGAGAGACGUAAAAUAUAAAAUGAAAAAAAAAACUUUUAACAACGGAUCUCUUGGCUCUC
rnacentral:misc_RNA from 1 species